AAGUCGUAACAAGGUUUCCGUAGGUGAACCUGCGGAAGGAUCAUUAUCACAUGAUUCCAUGUAUAAACCAUUGUGCAUUGUCACCCCCUUUGGAUUUGAAAUCGGAAAUGAAAGAAGCGUUUUAAUGGUCACUAUUGUAAUUUGAAGACCAAGUUUCUUUCUACUGUCUUGAGCUUUCGGGCGAGAGAUGGAGCUGAUCUCAACUUAUGAUCCAAAGUGUAAUUCAAAUUACAUACUUAUUGAUUAACAAUUGAAACCCCUUUUAAACUUUUGAACUAAUGUUUUCAUACUCCAAUAAAACGGAGAUGAAAUUCUUACGAAACAAAGAACAACUCUUAGCAACGGAUAUCUUGGUUCUCGUAACGAUGAAGAACGUAGC
rnacentral:misc_RNA from 1 species